UUUAAUUUCAAAUAAUUGGACGAGUUUUUUCUGUCAACAGUGCAACACACCAGUUCGAAUGCGAAUUGGAUUUGUUCAUGUUAGUGUGGUCGAUUUUUAGCAAGUAGCUCUUCAAACAGUACACACUUGGAACAAGUGGCCUCUCAAUCAUCAAGCCGAUAAUUGAUCCACUUGGAACAUUUAUUAUGUUUACAAUUGUGUCCAAAAAAUAGUCGUUAUUUGCAAAUGACAAUGUUGGAAUAUUGAACACAAAUAGAAAAUAUCGAUGGCAAAGUUGCUGGAGAAGCUAGAUUUAGUAUUCUGGAUAUUUCCUACAAUAUGUCGAGGCAUCCACAAAAGCGGCUCGAAUUUUCCGACACUGGGGCUUUCACGGAAUGUAAUAUAGGGGCCAAAUCGAAAAUAUACUAAUAACUUUGUUUGAUAAUCUCCAAUAAACUGGCUUAAAUUUUU